rnacentral:rRNA from 1 species
GAUGAACGCUGGCGGCAUGCCUUACACAUGGCAAGUCGAACGGUAACAGGUCUUCGGAUGCUGACGAGUGGGCGAACGGGUGAGUAAUACAUCGGAACGUGCCCGAGUCGUGGGGGAUAACGCAGCGAAAGCUGUGCUAAUACCGCAUACGAUCUACGGAUGAAAGCGGGGGAUCGCAAGACCUCGCGCGGACGGAGCGGCCGAUGGCAGAUUAGGUAGUUGGUGGGAUAAAAGCUUACCAAGCCGACGAUCUGUAGCUGGUCUGAGAGGACGACCAGCCACACUGGGACUGAGACACGGGCCCAGACUCCUACGGGAGGCAGCAGUGGGGAAUUUUGGACAAUGGGCGCAAGUUUGAUCCAGUUAUGCCGCGUGUAGGAUGAAGGCUUUCGGGUGUAAACUGCUUUUGUACGGAACGAAAAGCGUCUCUCUAAUAC